rnacentral:lncRNA from 1 species
GUACCUUCUGGUGCUUUCGGCACUGUCUGUGUCUCAUCAAAUCCCCUGCCCAGCUCCUCCUCCUUGAAAGGUUUAUAAGUCAAUUCCACAACAAUCUGCCCUCGUGACUUCUCAUUUUGAACAUCAUUGGGAUCCAAAGUUUUUCGGAGGUCAAGAGUAACACGUUUAGGCUCUUCAGGGGAAACUUCUUUUAAAGGGAUCACAUUCAUACCCAUCUUGUCAUGCUUCCCAACCUAAGAAAAGAUAAAAAAACAAUGUUCAGUUCAUAUAUCGAAAAGAAAAAACUAUAGGAUAAAGCUUUCAGCUCAAGAAGUUUACCUGCUCCCAGUCAUAAACAUUAAUCUGUAAAACCUGGGACUCUGGAUCUUUGACUACCAUAUUAAAUUCUUCAUUCCAUUCUGGAUUUAAGUUCUUGUGCUUUACAGUAGUCUUUUUCGAUGGCAACUUAUCCUCAGUAAGCUUCAGCUUCACAUAAGGGUCAGAUGCACCAAGAAGAUCUUUCUUCUUUAACUUCAUCGCUUGCACAACCUUUACAUGUAAAAUUCCAACAGGCCUCCUCAUAGCUCUAAGAUUCCCAAUAACAUUCACAAGAAAAAACAGAAAUGAGUUAAAAGGUAAUAUACCAUUAUAUUAUGAAAAUAUACUUUAGAGUAAAGAAGAAACAUACUUUACUGGAUCCAAUACUUGAACUUCCAGGGUUUUGGGCCAUAGAUACAUGUUUGCAACCUGAUCUUUGAUGAGGUCCUGAAAACAACACUCUAUAAAUUAGUAUCAUAGCCAUAAAACCUUCAACAAAACAUUCACUAGUUAAUGACAAUAACAUAAAUAUAGAUAUGUUACAAAAGGUAAUGUUUUGCUACUAUAAUACCAUAAACCAGAAAUACACCUUCCAGACUGAGAAUGCCAUAUACGGGCAACAUAAUGUAAUCACCAGUUUUCCAAAUGAUAGAAUUUCAUAAAAAGAUGGUACAGACGAAAGAAUGGAAGGCAUUGAAAAUAGCCAUCAAAAUCUUUCAAGUUUCAAUUCAAUAGACACACCCAAUCAAAUUUUGUUUGUAUAAACAGCAAGAGCCUGAAUAUGAGAUUUCAACUUUACAAGAGAAGAAAAUGUCCAGAUCAAACUAAAGAUGGCUUCUGGCAAAAAGGGUAACAACUAGCUGACACUACUGGCCAUCUUCUAUAAGACACAACAACUUUACUCUCAAUGACCUGGAAAGAAACACUUAACAAGCCAACAAAACAUUCAACCUCAGACUUCUACAUUACAUUUCUUAUUUCUUCAUGUUCAUAUCAUUACAAACACAACAGUUCUUAUUUCUUGGGCAAUCGAAUUUCUAUCUUUCAUGCACAUACAGAAACCAGCUUGAUACAAGAUAUACAUAAAACAGUGCAUACAAAAAUCAACGUCUUCACUAAGAUAUUAUAUAUUUCAAAAUAAGAUCCUCCUGCGAAAACAGUGGUCAAUUUCUACAGCGGGAAAUUAUUUAUUAUGCAGGAAAGUGACCACUCCCCCUUUAAAAUGAGUGGAAGAUGAAAGUCAGCAAUUUUAUGCCUCAAAAAAUUAGGAUAGGAAGGCAAACAAAACAAUAAAAAAGAUAGGUUUUUUACCUGAACAAUCCUGUAGGCGCCAGGAAUAGACAUAAGAUCAGCCCCUACAAGCAUUGGGAUCCAAAGUUUUUCGGAGGUCAAGAGUAACACGUUUAGGCUCUUCAGGGGAAACUUCUUUUAAAGGGAUCACAUUCAUACCCAUCUUGUCAUGCUUCCCAACCUAAGAAAAGAUAAAAAAACAAUGUUCAGUUCAUAUAUCGAAAAGAAAAAACUAUAGGAUAAAGCUUUCAGCUCAAGAAGUU